CAGGGCCUGGUGGUCCCAGCAGCCUGAGUCCAGCCCCCGGUGGUCAGAAAGGAAGGCCUUCCAGACUCUUGCUCGGCUGUGGUCUCCCUACCUCACUCCAUUUCUGGGUGCUCGGCUUUUGCCCUGCAUGAGCCAGAGGAGCUGCUGGGGUGCAAGGACGCCAACUGACCGCAUCCUGCGCCUCCCGGCUUCCCAGGACAUGCUGGCCCUGCAGAUCAUCGACCUCUUCAAGAACAUCUUCCAGCUGGUCGGCCUGGACCUCUUUGUUUUUCCCUACCGCGUGGUGGCCACUGCCCCUGGGUGUGGGGUGAUCGAGUGCAUCCCCGACUGCACCUCCCGGGACCAGCUGGGCCGCCAGACAGACUUCGGCAUGUACGACUACUUCACACGCCAGUACGGGGAUGAGUCCACCCUGGCCUUCCAGCAGGCCCGCUACAACUUCAUCCGAAGCAUGGCCGCCUACAGCCUCCUGCUGUUCCUGCUGCAGAUCAAGGACAGACACAACGGCAACAUUAUGCUGGACAAGAAGGGCCAUAUCAUCCACAUCGACUUUGGCUUCAUGUUUGAAAGCUCGCCGGGCGGCAAUCUCGGCUGGGAACCCGACAUCAAGCUGACGGAUGAGAUGGUGAUGAUCAUGGGGGGCAAGAUGGAGGCC
rnacentral:sRNA from 1 species